GGAUGCGCCAUACAUAUCCAACUCAUGUGCCAUUGGCUGAAAAUUUUUGGGGACCGCUUCCGAUCCAACGCGCAGCCAUGUUUAUCUGUAACUUAUUGUUUGUCAUUCAAUUCGAGUAAAACUAUGACCAUGUACCACAUUGAGAAAUAAAAAUAUGUUAAAAUAAAUCUAUUAUUUAAUUGUUUUA